rnacentral:misc_RNA from 1 species
AACCUUAUGGACCUGCGGGCGUAUACCUGCGGAGGGAUCAUUAUAAAAAUAUGGUCAAAACCAUUCUCCUGUGAUUUACGUAAUUGUGUACACUUUGGCAGGCUUUGGGUCGUUAUCGAUUCAUCUACUACGUUCGUGUGUAUAGGCGAAUGUCUGAAGCUGGCCUGUCAGAGGUUUUCAAUAAACACACACGUUUAAACUACAGUCUGAAAAUCUCUUUCGAGAGAAUAAAAACAAAUA